UACGUAGGGGGCAAGCGUUGUCCGGAAUCAUUGGGCGUAAAGCGCGCGUAGGCGGCCCGGUAAGUCCGCUGUAAAAGUCCAGGGCUCAACCCUGGAAAGCCGGUGGAUACUGUCGGGCUAGAGUCCGGAAGAGGCGAGCGGAAUUCCUGGUGUAGCGGUGGAAUGCGCAGAUAUCAGGAGGAACACCCGUAGCGAAGGCGGCACUCUGGGCCGUGACUGACGCUGAGGCGCGAAAGCCAGGGGAGCGAACGGG
rnacentral:rRNA from 1 species